rnacentral:rRNA from 1 species
GACGAACCGUACGAACGUUACUCGGAAUCACUGGGCUUAAAGGGUGCGUAGGCGGCCCGAUAAGUUGGGUGUGAAAUACCUCGGCUUAACCGAGGAAUUGCGCCCAAAACUGUCGGGCUUGAGCGAGGCAGAGGUGAGCGGAACUUAGGGUGGAGCGGUGAAAUGCGUUGAUAUCCUAAGGAACACCAGGGGCGAAAGCGGCUCACUGGGCCUCUUCUGACGCUGAGGCACGAAAGCUAGGGGAG